UACAGAGGGGGCAAGCGUUGUUCGGAAUUACUGGGCGUAAAGGGCGCGUAGGCGGCCUGCUAAGUCGAACGUGAAAUCCCUGGGCUCAACCCAGGAACUGCGUCCGAUACUGGUUGGCUUGAAUCCGGGAGAGGGAUGUGGAAUUCCAGGUGUAGCGGUGAAAUGCGUAGAUAUCUGGAGGAACACCGGUGGCGAAGGCGACAUCCUGGACCGGUAUUGAUGCUGAGGCGCGAAAGCCAGGGGAGCAAACGGG
rnacentral:rRNA from 1 species